GGCCUCGGUGGCUGUCGAGGACGUGGUCAUCCACUUCAGCCGGGAAGAAUGGGCUCUGCUGGACUGUGCUCAGAUGAAGCUCUACCAGGAUGUGAUGGUGGAGACCCUGAGGAACCUGAGGUCAGUGUCUGGAAAUCUUAAGGAUGGGAACAUGUUAUCCUGUAAACAAUCAGCAGUGCCAUUAAGGAAUAACCACACCUGGUCCUUCCUGCUUGGAGAAAACUCUGAGUCCCAUGUGGAUAAAGAUCGACCUAAAAGCCAGGGGAGCUCUGAGAGCAACUACAUCUACUGCCCAUUGGAUUUGACCCACGAAGGAAAAGAUCACGGUGUCUCGCUCACAGAUGGCGACGUUUUACACCUCUUUACUUCUGUCACU